rnacentral:rRNA from 1 species
AGCGAACGCUGGCGGCAGGCUUAACACAUGCAAGUCGAACGCCCCGCAAGGGGAGUGGCAGACGGGUGAGUAACACGUGGGAACGUGCCCUUCGGUUCGGAAUAACUCAGGGAAACUUGAGCUAAUACCGGAUACGCCCUGGAGCAAUCCGGGGGAAAGAUUUAUCGUCGAAGGAUCGGCCCGCGUCUGAUUAGCUAGUUGGUGAGGUAACGGCUCACCAAGGCGACGAUCAGUAGCUGGCUGAGAGGAUGAUCAGCCACACUGGGACUGAGACACGGCCCAGACUCCUACGGGAGGCAGCAGUGGGGAAUAUUGGACAAUGGGCGCAAGCCUGAUCCAGCCAUGCCGCGUGAGUGAUGAAGGCCCUAGGGUUGUAAAGCUCUUUUGUGCGGGACGAUAAUGACGGUACCGCAAGAAUAAGCCCCGGCUAACUUCGUGCCAGCCGCCGCAGUAAU